rnacentral:tmRNA from 1 species
GGGGAUGAUUGGUUUCGACGGGGAAGGUUGGCUGUGGGCUGCAAGCCGGGGAGGCUCCGUUCCCGUAAUCCCAGGAGCAAAACAUUAAGUGCCAAUAACAAGGCCAACAACUGGGUUCCCGCUAUGGCGAACGUCUGGGCAACCGCCCCGAUGGCUAUCGCUGCGUAAGCAACAUAGCGAUCCCAAAACCCGAUCGGGAAAUCCGGUCGCGCCCCUCCUGCAUCUCGCAAACGUGCUGGAGCCAGGCGACACAAGGUAUGCGUGCUAGCUAUCUCACGCCGAUAGGAUAGUCCAAGACACAUCGGUUAGCCGAGAAGAACGCCGUCGGCAGCGGUCUUCGAAGGCAAAACAAAGUCGCCGACUAAGCUUGUAGACGCUCAUUGUCG